UGUGGAAUUAUCAUAUCUACCCAUAUCUUUUUUCUUCGUGAAGGUUCGUAACUUCCAAGGCCAAUGCAAAUAGCCUCGAUCAUGAAUUUCUAUUAGGAUCUAGGUUCUUGGUGCAUUGAGAGGUAUAUCUCUCAGGCCUCUAUGGUAGGCCUCAAAGUCGCACAAUGCCUCUCUUCUCAAUUAUGCUUUCUUUGUAGUUCUUUCUCACAGUCUUUAUGUUUAUCCUUAUCUUUUUCACCACC
rnacentral:lncRNA from 1 species